CACUUGUUUUGAGAAUUAUGAUGAACAAGUCUUUGAGCUGAAUAGGUCUGAUGUCAGGGAAAAUGGGUUGCUAUGAUGAAUACCAAGCCAAUUAGUCGUGCUGGGUUUUAUCCUAAGAGAGUGGAAGAAAGAUUCACUCAGCUGUAAUCAUGCCAUGAAAAAAAAAGGGGGGGGGGGGGGGAAGAGGCAAACCUGGGACCUCUACAGUUCUGCCUUGUCUCAGCUGUUUCAUCUGCGCUCAUGAGAGACCAGAGCUGCAGGGAUGCUAAUGGGAUCCCUGGUGAUUUUAGCAGAGUUCCCUAUAAAAACUCUAGGACAUGCUGCCAGCCUGUGACCUUCUGCAAGGCGGUCUCAGGGCCAGCAGUGUAAAGGACGAGAUAGAUCUUCCUCCCACUGUCAUCACAAGCUGAGAGAAGAGAUGCUAACAGCCUCCUGUGUACUGCAGUGGAAGGCAGCUGGCACAGAAAGCGUGGAACCACAGGAAAAGGAAAUCCAUUCAUCACAAUUCUGGAAUGCUGGAAAACUCACUGAGGAACUACAAAGGGCAGAGGUGCUGACUUUAAGCGGAAUUGGCGGUUUGCAAUACCACUGCUCAGGACACUUAACACCAGAGGAAAGGUUUCACACACUUGUGUCCCACCGCAACCCAUGCAGACCUCGUGGCUGUGGCUGCUGAUGCAGGAUCCAGCAAAGGCAGAUUGCAGAGCUCUCACUCAUCUCUGCAUCAUCCGUGAAGACCUCCUCCAAGGGAAGCGCCAGCUUGCUGCCAUGAUGGUACAUACAUCACGAUGGCACAUACAUCACGGCGCGGUGGCAAAGCCGUCCGGCCUGGCUCCUGACGCAGAGCUGCACUCGGACCUUGCCCCAAGCAAAAGAUGCCACCUCUAAUAUAUGGAACUGUCACGAAUUUGUUUUUUGUCAUAAAUGAAGCAUGAGGCUGUGCUUUAAUUUUCCUCACUGCCCUCUGUCAGGUAAUAACCAUAAAUAUUGUCCUGAAUCAUUAAGUCACAAACUGAAAUGUGAUCCUGCCCAGUUCCCAAUCAGACAGCCAUCUGGAAGAUGAAAGAAGUCUAUUUUCAUUGCAGAAUGAUCCAGACUCUAAUUUGUAGUAACAGUCUUAACAGGCUGUUUCAGAGACAUUAACCAGAGACUGGUGGCAGUUACCCAAGGAGGGGGCACUGGAGGCGCUGCCUUCAGUGUGUGUCACGGGCAGAACACCCAUCACUGCUGUGGGCUCACAGAGUCUGCAUCUUUUAUUCGAACGCCAUGUUUCUAAACAGGCACAGGUUAUGGAUCCAGGGUGGCUGGAAAUAUACUGUGUCGUAAAAAAUGCCAACACGUUUGUGGGAGACAGAAAAUAGUACUUCCACAGAGCCAGCAGUGGUACCGCAGGUCGUAUAAAUGCCUCCUAUCUUAGGGUUAAUUUCAUGCUGAAAGUAAAUAUCUCUAUAUAAAAUAUAUUCAUACAUAUGUAUGUAGGUUGCUUCAAAAGUAAUGCCUCCUAUUUAUUUCCGUGGAAACUAAACAGAUACAAAGAGCACAAUAAUCCUAUUUGAUAGAACAAAUUCUCAGGUACAAAACACUAUUUUCAGUGUAGUCAUCGCCAUUAGCUAUGCAUUUUCACCAGCAAUGACUCAGAGCCUGCAUGCUGUACUCAUAAAAAUCUGCACCAGCGGAGGUGACCUGCUGCCACUGUCACCACUGCUGAAAUGCACCACCCACCACCUCAGCGUGCUCACACCCACUGUUUGGUCACCGUAAAUGUUCAGUAGGCAUCGAUGAAUGUCAAUAGGUGCAAUUUUUUCCUCAUGAAGGAAUUCAAUGACACACCUUUGCUUCAUAUGCACUUCCAUGUCAGACACCAUUCUGUCAGACUGCCUUUCUGCUGCUGUCUGUUGCACAGCAACAAAAAGUAACGGAAUACUGUCAGGAAGGUUCAGCCUCUACUGCCAUACCACCAACGUCUGCCUCUGAAGUUGUGGGCCAACAUAAUAAAACAGGAGGCAUUACUUUCA
rnacentral:lncRNA from 1 species